rnacentral:lncRNA from 1 species
UCAUAAUGAUGUGCAAGCUCUCCUGAAGGGCUGAUUAUAUAUGACAGAGGAGAAGGAAAUCGACGUUUGGGAGAAGAAGAGAGACUGAAAAGGAGCAGAGGUCCAGGAGAGCCAACAGAGAAGCAAAUUUUUCACAAAAGCAAACAAUCUAGAGUUGCUCAGCUGUCAUCACAAUGCAUUUUAGAAAAGCCUCACCAUGUCAAAAAGCAACAGCAAAUGACUCACUAUUACAACUGUGCAACUUUGCCAUCUGAGUUUGAGGACACAGAGUACUACAUAGCAAGGUUCUGGCCAGCCUGUGAUACAUAGCAAGAGGCCAUUUCAGGGAAAAAAGAAAAAACUUCCACACCCACACUCUUUGGGUAGACCCUGAUCACUUCAUCCCGUCUGCUAGAUCUAAGCAACCAAACAUCCACCAUCUCAAUUUGUUAAUUUGGGCCAUUUCACAUAAUGCUAAUCAUAUUUGGUCAUUUGUAUCUGGCCUCUUUCUGUUAUAAGAAUCAUUGUCAAGUUUCUUUUAUUAAAUUAAGUACCAGUAUUCCAUUCCUGUAAAUGGAUGAGUAAUAUCCCCU